CGGCCAGACUCCUACGGGAGGCAGCAGUGAGGAAUAUUGGUCAAUGGGCGGAAGCCUGAACCAGCCAAGUCGCGUGAGGGAAUAAGGCCCUACGGGUCGUAAACCUCUUUUGCCGGGGAGCAAGGGCGGGGACGUGUCCCGGCCCGGAGAGUACCCGGAGAAAAAGCAUCGGCUAACUCCGUGCCAGCAGCCGCGGUAAUACGGAGGAUGCGAGCGUUAUCCGGAUUUAUUGGGUUUAAAGGGUGCGUAGGCGGAUCGUUAAGCCGGGGGUCAAUUGGGUGGGCUCACCCCUUUCCCGCCAUUGAAACUGGCGCUCUUGAGUGGAAGAGAAGUAUGCGGAAUGCGUGGUGUAGCGGUGAAAUGCAUAGAUAUCACGCAGAACCCCGAUUGCGAAGGCAGCAUGCCGGCUUCCGACUGACGCUGAAGCACGAAAGCGUGGGGAUCGAACAGGAUUAGAUACCCGGGUAAA
rnacentral:rRNA from 1 species